UACGAAGGGGGCUAGCGUUGUUCGGAAUUACUGGGCGUAAAGCGCACGUAGGCGGAUUGUUAAGUUAGGGGUGAAAUCCCGGGGCUCAACCCCGGAACUGCAUUCGAUACUGCCUGGCUAGAGUACUGGAGAGGAGAUUGGAAUUUACGGUGUAGCAGUGAAAUGCGUAGAUAUCGUAAGGAAGACCAGUGGCGAAGGCGGAUCUCUGGACAGUUACUGACACUGAGGCACGAAGGCCAGGGGAGCAAACGGG
rnacentral:rRNA from 1 species